GUUUAGUUAGAGUUAAGCAUUUAUGAGAUUUUUAAUGUUCAUAAAUAUAGAUUCUGCUUAAGAAGCUCUCUGGUAACAGGGAUGUAUAGUCAUCAAGACUUUGCUUUUCGCUUAGAAUGUAUACCUUUGUUAAGUUGGAAAAGUUGUUCAUUACUAAAAUUAUAACUGCUGAUUUUGAAGUGUUAGCCUGGUAGGACUAAGAGGGAGCGGACCACAUACCAAGUUAAUAUAAUUUAUACUGGAAAAGCUACCUUGGCAAAUGCUUUUAGAGUGUCUACUUUGCUUUGGUUAUUCUAUUGGUAGUUGGAGACACAACUUUUCUGUAACUGAUAAAAGACAUGAUAGUUGUGUUGCUACUUGCUAGGAAUAAGACAUCAAGUAUCCCCUUCUUUUAAGUGUUUGGCGUUCUGUGUCCUGGAAUGAGGGGAAUGGGAAUGAGAAACUAAGAAUAAAAGAUUAUCUUUUUCCUUGUUUUUGAGGAAUGGGAAUAAAACAACAAUCAUAUCCUCAUUCUCCUGUUUCUAGUAAUCAAACCGGCUUGUUAUAUUGUCUUAUUAAGGAUCCAUUUGGUUCAGCAGUUGAGAUCAACAUUUGGCAGUUGAGGAUCCAACUGCUGAACUCGAGUUAUUUAGCAGUUUCUUUUUUCAUGAGUAAAUAGUAAGGAUUAAAUUCUCAACAUCUAUUUAGAAUUAUUAUCAGUUUUGUGAGAUUCCAGCAAAGCACCAUUUCAUUUACAAGGUUUCGUUUAGAGAUUAAUUGGAAAUUAUUGGUUUGUUUAAGGUCUGGCAUUUCACCCGCUCGA
rnacentral:misc_RNA from 1 species